rnacentral:rRNA from 1 species
GAUGAACGCUGGCGGCGUGCCUAAUACAUGCAAGUCGAGCGAAUGGAUUAAGAGCUUGCUCUUAUGAAGUUAGCGGCGGACGGGUGAGUAACACGUGGGUAACCUGCCCAUAAGACUGGGAUAACUCCGGGAAACCGGGGCUAAUACCGGAUAACAUUUUGAACCGCAUGGUUCGAAAUUGAAAGGCGGCUUCGGCUGUCACUUAUGGAUGGACCCGCGUCGCAUUAGCUAGUUGGUGAGGUAACGGCUCACCAAGGCAACGAUGCGUAGCCGACCUGAAAGGGUGAGCGGCCAAACUGGGACUGAGAAGCGGCCCAGACUCCUACGGGAGGCAGCAGUAGGGAAUCUUCCGCAAUGGUCGAAAGUCUGACGGAGCAACGCCGCGUGAGUGAUGAAGGCUUUCGGGUCGUAAAACUCUGUUGUUAGGGAAGAACAAGUGCUAGUUGAAUAAGCUGGCACCUUGACGGUACCUAACCAGAAAGCCACGGCUAACUACGUGCCAGCCGCCGCGGUAA